CAGCCGCCGCGGGAAUACGUAGGUGGCAAGCGUUGUCCGGAAUUAUUGGGCGUAAAGGGCUCGCAGGCGGUUUCUUAAGUCUGACGUGAAAGCCCCCGGCUCAACCGGGGAAGGUCAUUGGAAACUGGGAAACUUGAGUGCAGAAGAGGAGAGUGGAAUUCCACGUGUAGCGGUGAAAUGCGUAGAGAUGUGGAGGAACACCAGUGGCGAAGGCGACUCUCUGGUCUGUAACUGACGCUGAGGAGCGAAAGCGUGGGGAGCGAACAGGAUUAGAUACCCCGGUAGUCCCUGUCUCUUAUAU
rnacentral:rRNA from 1 species